GUGCUUGCUUUGGCAGCACAUAUACUAAAAUUGGAACAAUACAGAGAAGAUUGUCAGGGCCCCUAUGCACGGAUGACAAGCAAAUUCAUGAAGCGUUCCAUAUUUUU